GAUGAAGAACGCAGCGAAAUGCGAUACGUAAUGUGAAUUGCAGAAUUCAGUGAAUCAUCGAAUCUUUGAACGCAUAUUACGCUCUCUGGUAUUCCGGAGAGCAUGCUUGUUUGAGUAUCAGUAAACACCUCAACUCCCUUUUCUUUUUUGAAAUGGGAGCUGGACUUGAGUGAUCCCAACACUUUUCUCACUGGAAAGUGGCGGGUCACUUGAAAUGCAGGUGCAGCUGGACUUUUCUCUGAGCUAUAAGCAUAUCUAUUUAGUCUGCCUAAAAAACAGAUUAUUACCUUUGCUGCAGCUAACAUAAAGGAGAUGAGUUCUUGUGCUGACUGAUGCAGGAUUCACAGAGACAGCUUUGCGGCUGACUUUGUAAACUCGAUCUCAAAUCAAGUAAGACUACCCGCUGAACUUAAGCAUAUCAAUAAGCGGAGGA
rnacentral:misc_RNA from 1 species